rnacentral:lncRNA from 1 species
AAGUGCUGGGAUUACAGGCGUGAGCCACCGCGCCCGGCCCCUUCUGAUCUUCUUAAACAAGUUUGAAGCUCUCCAUUUUUCCAGGCGAGUCCUGGCUCCCCACUCUUGCCUCCUUCUGAUCUUCUCCCCACUCCUGCCUCCUUCUGAUCUUCUCCCCACUCCUGCCUCCUUCUGAUCUUCUCCCCACUCCUGCCUCCUUCUGAUCUUCUUAAACAAGUUUGAGUCUCCAGGUGAAGAUCGUGGAGGCCUCAUCCUGCUUGCUCAACUUGGCAGCUGGGCGGUUUCCCCCAUGGCAGGUGGAGAGCUGGACCCUACCCCACCACAAGCUGCAUCUGUCCCGCCUUCUCAAAGGCAGCAAUUCUGAGAGCCUGAUGGCUUCAUCCAGAAAAUAAAAAGGAAAGGCCACGUGGAAGGGUUUUGUGCAGGGAGCCACUGGCCCAGCUACUGGGCCAACCCGGGAAGAGCAGGCAGGCCGUGGGGAGUCAGUGGAGGAGAGGAACUGGACUGUGCACCCUUCAGAAUCCCCCUUUAAAGUGGAGAGCUGGGGACUGACGGUGUGCCUACAAUACGGUGUACCUGCGCUCAGUAAAGAUACCCGCUGUCAGUCCAUCCUCCCACAGUGCCGGCACCUACAAGUGGGGACUGCAGAGCGGGUUUGCCUGGGAAGAGGAAGCAUGAUGUGCAGAGUGGGCGGUGCAGCAGACGUGGGAAAAGCAAGAGAAGAAAAGGGAAAACAGCGCAGAAGGAAAGCCAUGGUCAUGCCGAUGAGUGCGCUGCCCCCUCUACCCGGCUUCAGGAGUCUGAUGACUUUUCUUUCACCCUCUAAGCCAAGAUAAUAGGAAAGCUAAAACGAAGGGCUUCAGGCUCAGGAAGAUCAGAGGCAGCAGUGCUGGAGCUGGCUCUGUAAAUUUUACUGACUGUUAGAUUUUCCGAAAAUUUGUGAGCUGGUUGAUGGGUUUGUAGCUGGAAGUCAGUCAUAGGUAGAGGGAAAAUUUACAACACAGAAAUCAGCUAAUGCCAAACCUCAGGACUCCUCCCCACCUUGACAGCAGGUGGGGGACGCUCGCCGCCGCUUCUGUGGGCCCCGCAGGACACUCGGCACUUCUGAGCAAGGUUUCUCGUCUGCAAAGAGGAAAAUGAUGUGCGAUGAUGGAAUUUGAAUGGGCAGCCGUUGGUGGAUGUUUGAGAACGCUUCCCUCGAGAAGCCUCACCGCGGAGCAUCCUUCAAUCAACCUCAGCCCGUGCUCACUUACCACCCUGACACCCCCAUUUCCGAGUCCACAUGGCACCUCCUGGAUGCCACGAAUGUUCCCGGGCAGUGCUGUGCCAGCACCUAUGAGAGCCUGGCCCGUGUUUGCUGGUGAUGUCCUGAAAGAGGCCCAGGUCCUCCAGGAACACGCAGGGCUGCAUAAAGCACACCUCCUCACAUUGUCUUAGAGACGAUGGGCUUUCUAAGUGUAAAGCACUCUGCAAACACACACGUCACCUCCUCACCUUCUCCGGCUGAGCACCUGCACCCCCUGGUCUCACCAAGUCCCGCCCCUCACUUCUACCCAAGCUCCACUCCAGGGAGAGGCACCUUCGGCCCACAGAGAGUGUUUCGUAAAUUAUUCAUCCAACAAACGUUUGGCUGUCUCUUCCAUGCCAGGCGUUGGGUGUGGCCCAGGGUGCCGGACUCUCUGUGAGCUCACGCACAGGCUGCGGCAGAGACAGUCAGUCCAGACGUCGCAGGUGAUGCAUGAAGUCAGAGGGCCUGGGAGCAAUGCCAUGUGCAGCCGAUGUUUGCGGGGGAACUCUGUAUAGUGUGGUGGACCCGAAUCGCCAGCAACAGAGGACACGUGCACCUGGCAGCAGCCUCUGGAGACAGGACGCCCUCGUGUGCUGGGCCAGGGCCCAGGGACCUGGGAGCCAGGGCUGCAGCUUGCGAAGCUUGGGCAGGACUCAGUGUUUCCUCCCAAAUGAUUCAGAAACCUCUGGAAAGUUAUGAGAAUGAAGGAAAUUGGGCUGAUGUCUCCAAAGGACUCUUCAGGCUUUGGGGUGGGGGGAGCAAAAGCCGGGAGAAUGGGGCAGGGUGGGCCUGUCCAUGUCUGCACGCGGGCCCAAGAGGUAGCCAUGGCAGUGAUGAGGCAGGGGCACAAGGGAAGGGAAGGCUCAGAGCAGGUUUGCUGGAGCCCAUCCUCAGAAGGGAGUCUCUGCUGAGGUCGAAGAGGCCUUUGAUGGGGCUUCAGAGUCUGUGACAUUCCAACUUCGAACCACUGCUGGGUUCACGUGGAGGUGCAAUAAUGAUAAUAAC